GACGAACGCUGGCGGCGUGCUUAACACAUGCAAGUCGAACGGAAAGGCCCUGCUUUUGUGGGGUGCUCGAGUGGCGAACGGGUGAGUAAAACGUGAGUAUACUGCACUUGACUUUGGGAUAACUUCAGGAAAAUGGGGCUAAUACCGGAUAGGAGCUCCUGCUGCAUGGUGGGGGUUGGAAAGUUUCGGCGGUUGGGGAUGGACUCGCAGCUUAUCAGCUUGUUGGUGAGGUAGGGGCUUACCAAGGCUUUGACGGGUAGCCGGCCUGAGAGGGUGACCGGGGACAUUGGGACUGAGAUACGGCCCAGACGCCUACGGGAGGCAGCAGGGGGGAAUAUUGCGCAAUGGGCGGAAGCCUGAUGCAGCAGCGCCGCGUGCGGGAUGACGGCCUUCGGGUUGUAAACCGCUUUCGCAUGUGACGUAGCGUGAGUGACGGUAAUGGGUAAAGAAGCACCGGCUAACUACGUG
rnacentral:rRNA from 1 species